CCCUUAGAUGUUCUGGGCCGCACGCGCGCUACACUGACGAAGUCAGCGAGCAUCUCCUACGCCGAAAGGUGCGGGGAAUCUUGUGAAACUUCGUCGUGCUGGGGAUUGAUUAUUGAAAUUAUUGAUCAUCAACGAGGAAUUCCUAGUAAGCGCAAGUCAGCAGCUUGCGUUGAUUACGUCCCUGCCCUUUGUACACACCGCCCGUCGCUACUACCGAUUGAAUGGUUUAGUGAGAUCUUCGGAUUGGUGCCACCGAGUCCAGCAAUGGACACGGUGAAUAUCGAAAAGUCGAUCAAACUUGAUCAUUUAGAGGAAGUAAAAGUCGUAACA
rnacentral:rRNA from 1 species